CCAGACUCCUACGGGAGGCAGCAGUGGGGAAUAUUGCACAAUGGGGGAAACCCUGAUGCAACGACGCCGCGUGAGUGAAGAAGUAUUUCGGUAUGUAAAGCUCUAUCAGCAGGGAAGAAAAUGACGGUACCUGACUAAGAAGCCCCGGCUAACUACGUGCCAGCAGCCGCGGUAAUACGUAGGGGGCAAGCGUUAUCCGGAUUUACUGGGUGUAAAGGGAGCGUAGACGGCAUGGCAAGUCAGAUGUGAAAGCCCGGGGCUCAACCCCGGGACUGCAUUUGAAACUGUCAGGCUGGAGUGCAGGAGAGGUAAGUGGAAUUCCUAGUGUAGCGGUGAAAUGCGUAGAUAUUAGGAGGAAUACCGGUGGCGAAGGCGGCCUGCUGGACUGUGACUGACGUUGAGGCCCGAAGGCGUGGGGAGCAAACAGGAUUAGAUACCCUUGUA
rnacentral:rRNA from 1 species